rnacentral:miRNA from 1 species
UGCGACGCAUCGGCCUUUCUUC